UUAAUUCAGGAAUAUUUGAUCUGGUUCCUAUACUUUCCACCUCAGUUAAUACAGUGCUCAAGCUAACUAACGAGGACGCCGAGCUGUUUAGUCCAAUAUCCAAGGAGAAUCUAAAGAGAAUCUGCAAACUGGAACUAAAACACGAGUUUGUACUCGGGGAACAUGAUAGUCCAGCUUUCCAUACUCAAGCAGAACAGUACAGGUUGAAGCUUGAGGAGAAUGGUUGUAAAGUUGGAUUUAAAGUUCUUAAAGGAUUAGAUCAUUUCUCAUUGGUAGAAGAUCUGGCUGAAGAAGAUUCUGAGUCAACACAACAUUUCUUCACCUUAUUAAAUAAAUAAAGAAAAGCAUGUAAUAG